rnacentral:rRNA from 1 species
GAGUUUGAUCGUGGCUCAGGAUGAGCGCUGGCGGCGUGCUUAACACAUGCAAGUCGAACGAAGCGCCUUAUUUGAUUUUCUUCGGAACUGAAGAUUUGGUGACUGAGUGGCGGACGGGUGAGUAACGCGUGGGUAACCUGCCCUGUACAGGGGGAUAACGAUCAGAAAUGACUGCUAAUACCGCAUAAGACCACAGCACCGCAUGGUGCAGGGGUAAAAAACUCCGGUGGUACAGGAUGGACCCGCGUCUGAUUAGCUGGUUGGUGAGGUAACGGCUCACCAAGGCGACGAUCAGUAGCCGGCUUGAGAGAGUGAACGGCCACAUUGGGACUGAGACACGGCCCAAACUCCUACGGAGGCAGCAGUGGGGAAUAUUGCACAAUGGGGGAAACCCUGAUGCAACAACGCCGCGUGAGUGAAGAAGUAUUUCGGUAUGUAAAGCUCUAUCAGCAGGGAAGAAAGUGACGGUACCUGACUAAGAAGCCCCGGCUAACUACGUGCCAGCAGCCGCGCGGU